AACGAACGCUGGCGGCAGGCCUAACACAUGCAAGUCGAACGCCCCGCAAGGGGAGUGGCAGACGGGUGAGUAACGCGUGGGAACGUGCCCUUCGGUUCGGAAUAACUCAGGGAAACUUGAGCUAAUACCGGAUACGCCCGUAAGGAGAAAGAUUUAUCGCCGAAGGAUCGGCCCGCGUCGGAUUAGCUAGUUGGUGAGGUAACGGCCCACAAGGCGACGAUCCGUAGCUGGGUCUGAGAGGAUGANCAG
rnacentral:rRNA from 1 species